GGCGAACGCUGGCGGCGUGCCUAAUACAUGCAAGUUGAGCGAUGAAGAUUGGUGCUUGCACCAAUUUGAAGAGCAGCGAACGGGUGAGUAACGCGUGGGGAAUCUGCCUUUGAGCGGGGGACAACAUUUGGAAACGAAUGCUAAUACCGCAUAACAACUUUAAACAUAAGUUUUAAGUUUGAAAGAUGCAAUUGCAUCACUCAAAGAUGAUCCCGCGUUGUAUUAGCUAGUUGGUGAGGUAAAGGCUCACCAAGGCGAUGAUACAUAGCCGACCUGAGAGGGUGAUCGGCCACAUUGGGACUGAGACACGGCCCAAACUCCUACGGGAGGCAGCAGUAGGGAAUCUUCGGCAAUGGACGAAAGUUUGACCGAGCAACGCCGCGUGAGUGAAGAAGGUGUUCGGAUCGUAAAACUCUGUUGGUAGAGAAGAACGUUGGUGAGAGUGGAAAGCUCAUCAAGUGACGGUAACUACCCAGAAAGGGACGGCUAACUACGU
rnacentral:rRNA from 1 species